rnacentral:rRNA from 1 species
CGGAGGGUGCAAGCGUUAUCCGGAUUUACUGGGUUUAAAGGGUGCGUAGGUGGGCAGUUAAGUCAGUGGUGAAAUCUCCGAGCUUAACUCGGAAACUGCCAUUGAUACUAUCUGUCUUGAAUAUCCUGGAGGUGAGCGGAAUAUGUCAUGUAGCGGUGAAAUGCUUAGAUAUGACAUAGAACACCAAUUGCGAAGGCAGCUCACUACGGGGUCAUUGACACUGAGGCACGAAAGCGUGGAGAUCAAACAGGAUUAGAUACCCUGGUAGUCCACGCCCUAAACGAUGGAUACUCGACAUCAGCGAUACACUGUUGGUGUCUGAGCGAAAGCAUUAAGUAUCCCACCUGGGAAGUACGACCGCAAGGUUG